UGGGUCACCAUUCCCUUGGGAACAUGUGAUCUGAAGCAACAUCUUUUAAUGUGUGUGUGAGAGGAUAUGGGUGGGGAGGGAGAGGAGUAUGCAUUUGGGAAAAAAGUCACCAGUGUAAUGGGAGCUGAGCACCGGAGGGGGCCAAGGGAGGCAGAGAAGAGAAGCAGCUGGAAACUUCUUCUUGGAAGAGGGUAGAGAGAAUAAUGAGCAUCUGACUGAAGUAUGGGAUGUUACUCAAGAUUACAGAAGGCACUAUGGAUGCAAGAUAGACACCAGAAGAAAAUCUCUUUUUGUGGAAGAAAGUAGUAUUUUUCCUAUGGGAAGAGGUGAGGUGGUAAGUAGGUGAGUCCUGGGGAAGGAGAGAGAGACCAACAGGAAAGAGAUUCUAACAGGAUUAUGAGUCAAAGCAAGAAUACUCAAUUUCUGUGCCAUAAAAUCUGCCAAUAGAAUUAAAAGAAUAAUUCAAGAAUGUGAAAAUACUUGCUUGAUUUCUGCUUAAAUUGAUGAAAAGAUUAGCUUAUUGUUAGUUAACAGGAUAAAAUGUUGAGAUUGGCUUGAACAACUAGCCUGACUGAACUUAGCUGAGAACAACUAGAAAAACUGGCCAAAGUAUAAAAAGGCUUGUGUUUGAAGGCACUGGAGAGCUUCCAAGGCAGUGAAGAUUUUAGAACCAAGAUCAUGGAGAGAAAGAAAGCAAAGUGAGUCCUGUAUGCUGUGCCACUUUUCCACUGGGAAAUUUAGAAAUUAAAGCACCAGCUGAGAAUCUGAUCAGAAAGUGGCGGCUAGGAGACUGAGAAGAUGAACAGUCUUUAAGUUUUAUCACAGAACUUGAGGGACAAACAUUGGAAUUCACAAAGCCAGACACCAGAGUCUAUUCUGUAUGUUUUCAUGGCAUGACUAAACUAAGAUGUUGCAAGAAAAGUUUUUCUAUUUGAUGAAUAGGGUGGAGAUAGUGAUAUGGAAGCCUGAGAGCAGCUUUUGUUAUGUUGGUGAUAUUUUACUUUUUGAUCUAUAGGCUGCAUUACAAAAAUAUGUUCAUGCUGUGAUAAUUCAAUAAGUUUUACAGUUAAGGUUUAUAUACUUUUAUGUAAAUACAUUAACCUUGUCCUGAGUGUAUUAAAAAUAAGAUCAAUGAUAUAAAAUUUGACUGUCAAAAUAUUUAUAUAUAUAUUAAUAUCUGAUUAAAUUAUUCAUGUAUUUACUUGCUCUCUAUGAUUCAUUAUGAUGUUUAACUCCUUAUAAUCCCCACUGGAUCCUAUGUGGAUUACAGAAGAGUUACAUACAGUGAGGUAUGCUUGCCACUGCUGAAUCACAUGUUCUCCUUAUUUUAGUAGCUAUGCACUACAGUUUUUUUCUCUUAGGAAAAUACUGAAGUUUGUGUGUUUGGAUCCUGAGUUCUUUUCUUAUUAAUCUUGGAAUUUUAGGAAAUAUGAGAGUGAACAUUCUUAAUUGGGAGGAAGGAUUAGGAAAUGCAAUCUGGGAAUAUAAACCACUCAACUGAGUGCUUGCAAAGGAAAAGCAAGAGAAGAAGUACUUUCCCUCCCCAUCCCCAUCUCUCCCUUGAAAAAAUGACUUACGUUUGAAGAGUGUGGGAAGAGUAGUCAUGUAUGGAUGUGAGAGUUGGACCAAAAAGAAAACU